UAAGGAAUAUUGGACAAUGGAGGCAACUCUGAUCCAGCCAUGCCGCGUGAAGGAAUAAGGCCCUAUAGGUUGUAAACUUCUUUUAGACGGGACAAAACCCCUUUACGUGUAAAGGGUUGAUGGUACUGUCAGAAUAAGCAUCGGCUAACUUCGUGCCAGCAGCCGCGGUAAUACGAAGGAUGCAAGCGUUAUCCGGAAUUAUUGGGUUUAAAGGGUGCGUAGGCGGACUAAUAAGUCAGUGGUGAAAGCCUGCAGCUUAACUGCAGAAUUGCCAUUGAUACUGUUAGUCUUGAGUACAGUUGAGGUAGGCGGAAUGUGUCAUGUAGCGGUGAAAUGCUUAGAUAUGACACAGAACACCGAUUGCGAAGGCAGCUUGCUAAGCUGUAACUGACGCUGAGGCACGAAAGCGUGGGGAGCAAACA
rnacentral:rRNA from 1 species